AGUAACGCGGGAUGAGCUCAAAUUUGAAAUCUGGCUGGUUUACUAGUCCGAGUUGUAAUUUAAAGAAGCGUUUUCGGUGGCAGCCUGGGUAUAAAUCCUUUGGAAUAGGGUAUCAUAGAGGGUGAGAAUCCCGUCUUUGACCUAGUGCAUGCUACUAUGUGAUACGUUUUCAAAGAGUCGAGUUGUUUGGGAAUGCAGCUCAAAAUGGGUGGUAAAUUUCAUCUAAAGCUAAAUAUUGGCGAGAGACCGAUAGCGAACAAGUACCGUGAGGGAAAGAUGAAAAGAACUUUGAAAAGAGAGUUAAACAGUGCGUGAAAUUGUUGAAAGGGAAACGUUUGACACCAGUCAUGUGGGUGGAAAAUCAGUCUUUUGCAUUGGGGAGUUGUAAGGGUUCGGACCGCAAGGCCGGCUUUUGCUUCAUCUUUGGUGUAAGUGAUGCACUUUUUCAUCUACAGGUCAACAUCAGUUUCUUUUGCUGGACAAAACUCCGAGAGAAGGUAGCAGCUUAGGCUGUGUUAUAGCUCUGGAGCGAUACAGUGAAGGGGACUGAGGUUUUCGCAGCGUGUGCUCUCGGGCAAGGCUGGAUGGGUGCUAUGGGAUCGUUCGGGGUACAAUGCCUGGCAUUUUGCUUCGUGUCUUUUCUAUACUCGCUCAACUCAGCUCUUC
rnacentral:rRNA from 2 species